rnacentral:rRNA from 1 species
GGAAGUAAAAGUCGUAACAAGGUCUCCGUAGGUGAACCUGCGGAGGGAUCAUUACAAGAACGCCCGGGCUUCGGCCUGGUUAUUCAUAACCCUUUGUUGUCCGACUCUGUUGCCUCCGGGGCGACCCUGCCUUCGGGCGGGGGGCUCCGGGUGGACACUUCAAACUCUUGCGUAACUUUGCAGUCUGAGUAAACUUAAUUAAUAAAAUUAAAACUUUUAACAACGGAUCUCUUGGUUCUGGCAUCGAUGAAGAACGCAGCGAAAUGCGAUAAGUAAUGUGAAUUGCAGAAUUCAGUGAAUCAUCGAAUCUUUGAACGCACAUUGCGCCCCCUGGUAUUCCGGGGGGCAUGCCUUGUUCGAGCGUCAUUUCACCACUCAAGCUCGCUUGGUAUUGGGCAACGCGGUCCGCCGCGUCCCUCAAAUCCGUCCGGCUUGGUCUUCUUGGCCCCUAAACCGUUGUGAACUAUUCGCCUAAAUGGUGUUCUGGACUGACCGCCGUAAAACAACCCCAUUUCUAAUGUUGACCUCUGUUCAUGUAGGAUACCCGCUUAACUUAAGGCAUAUCAAUAAGCUGGAGGA